UUCCUUGUUCUGUCACUGUUUCUUCUUUUUAUUUCGAUCAUAACAUAUCCCAGCUUGAACAUUUUAUACAGGAAUUCUAAUUCUUUGCAUGUCUAUAGGAUCACUUGGUUUGCAAGUCAUUCAGAUCUCUUCUAUAUCAGUUGAUCUAUACUUUUCUAAGGCACACUUGUCACUCUGCUAUCUAGCAGAGUGCUACCUUGCGAAUACAAGACAGCAGUAUUUCUUCCACCAUGCAUCAUUUGAUGUAUUUCAUUCCUUUUCUCUUGAUGUCAUCAGUAGUGUUUUCAGUUGCAUUUUCUAGAAAACCAAGUGGAAAGAAAGGCACCCAUAUCAGAGUUGGCAUAAAAUACUUUUGUCACUUUUCAGUCAUUCAAGCAGUACUUUCUUUUCUUCUAAUCAUAUUAUUAGAACAUAAUAGCAGUUGCUAUGGGAGCAGGAGAACCAAACAGUGGUUGAGGCUCAGUGGCAAUACAUCUAUGUUAAAGGUAACAUCUGGUCUUUGCUCCCUUGAAGCACGAAUUAUCAAAACAAAACAGUGGUGUGAAAUGCUGCCAUGUUUAGAAGGAGAAGGCUGUGAUUUGCUAAUCAAUAAAUCAGGCUGGACCUGUACACAACCAGGAGGUCGGAUAAAGACAACCACGAUGCUUCAUUGAAGGUUAUGGAAAGCUCUGGACAACAGGCAUGGAAACUAGGAAGUCUUAGGAUAACUCUCUGAAGUGCUUGACUGUGAUUUAAAAGAAGAGAAAUUUUCUAGCAGAAACAUCACGAGACCUUAUUUUCUCUAGCAGUAUUCUUACGUCAAAAGCUACUGACGCAGUCAAGUAUUUUCUAUUUCUGCUCAGAAUAUGCAUCUGAGUUACCAGUCCCACAGUGGCGUCUAAUUAUAAUGGGGAGGAUUAACAGUGUGCAGAGAAGGGACAAGAAAAUGGUCACCAGGAAGUAAGGGGAAAUUCGUGUCCAAACAUAUUAAGUGAAUUAUUAUACAUUAUUUGUAUUGUUAAGUAGAAACAGUUAACCACAUUUUCAGUGGUAGCUGCGUUAUAUCCUUAAUUAUAUCCUAACUUGUUAACUCACAUUUGUUAAUCUAAUAUUUGCAGUCCUUUUCUAAAUGCAUUAAUCAGUAUCAUGAAGAUGUUUGGCACUAGGUCUUACAUUGUCAUGGCGAUGAUAGAUCAUAUUGCAGAGAGAUCUCUGGUAAAUGCUGAAGACAGUCAUUUGCUAUUGUGCUGAUGCCAGGACAGUAUUGAACUCUGAUGGACUGAGACCAGCUAUUGUGGUAAUACCAGCUGCUUUGAUUGUAGAUAGAUGUGUCUAAGUGUAACUUUUGAAUAACUGGGUUUAGAAGAAGCACGUGAAAUUAUAGAACUAGUGAAGAUUCUGCCCAGGGCAUCCUUUCUGUAUGUGAGAAUAUAAUCUAGGACUUCUAGUUAAAUAUGUUUUUUACCAAAACAAGGAUGAAAUACUUUUUAUUUUCUUGAGAUAUAUUCAACAUUUAACAUUUUUUCCUAUGAAGUUACCAAGCAGAUAGGAUAAGAAAGUACCCUUUUCUUCAAAGUAUAAGUGCAAAUUCUUUAAACUGCUUCUUUGUUUGUGUUGAAAUUCUAUAGACUUUCUAUGAAAAGCCAGAUUUUUUUCACUGCAUGGCACUUUUUGUAAUUACCUCUGGAAACAAUACAGUGAAAUCAAAAUUCUCUCCUCAUGCGGGUAGGAGUGUUUUAUACCCAUUUUGUGCUCACUUUGCACAGCCAUAAAUGACUACACAAGGUGCAAGGCAAAGGAGAAUCAAACUCAAAGUAUACUCUAAAUGGAUCUGGAUGUCACUUCUGCCCUGUCAUCCUAUCUACAAGGUGUGAAUGAAGCAAGGAUUUUUCAUCUGCUAAGAGGCUUUUAGAAUUGAGGAUUGUCUGGGCUAACUGCCAAUCUGUGUAUUAAGCAGCUGAUACAAGGAAACAAUAUGGCAACUUGUAAAAUAAGGUAGCAAGAGAAUACUACA